rnacentral:rRNA from 1 species
AUACGAAUGGGGCAAGCGUUGUUCGGAAUCACUGGGCGUAAAGCGUGUGUAGGCGGUUUAACAAGUCAGGAGUGAAAUCCCAGGGCUCAACCCUGGAAUUGCUCUUGAAACUGUUAAGCUAGAGUACUGGAGAGGUUAGCAGAAUUCCGAGUGUAGAGGUGAAAUUCGCAGAUAUUCGGAGGAAUACCAGUGGCGCAAGCGGCUAACUGGACAGUAACUGACGCUGAGACACGAAAGCGUGGGGAUCAAACAGGAUUAGAUACCCUGGUAGUCCACGCUGUAAACGAUGUAUGUUAGUUGUCGGGAGGUUUACCUUUCGGCGACAAAGCUAACGCAUUAAACAUACCGCCUGGGGAGUACGGUCGCAAGAUUAAA